UACGUAGGGCGCAAGCGUUGUCCGGAAUCAUUGGGCGUAAAGAGCUCGUAGGUGGUCUGUUACGUCUGCUGUGAAAACCUAGGGCUUAACCCUGGGCCUGCAGUGGAUACGGGCAGACUAGAGGUAGGUAGGGGAGAAUGGAAUUCCCGGUGUAGCGGUGAAAUGCGCAGAUAUCGGGAGGAACACCGGUGGCGAAGGCGGGUCUCUGGGCCGAUACUGACGCUGAGGAGCGAAAGCGUGGGGAGCGAACAGG
rnacentral:rRNA from 1 species